rnacentral:rRNA from 1 species
GAGGAAAGCUGGCGGCGUGCUUAACACAUGCAAGUCGAACGGAAAGGCCCUGCUUUUGUGGGGUGCUCGAGUGGCGAACGGGUGAGUAACACGUGAGUAACCUGCCCUUGACUUUGGGAUAACUUCAGGAAACUGGGGCUAAUACCGGAUAGGAGCUCCUGCUGCAUGGUGGGGGUUGGAAAGUUUCGGCGGUUGGGGAUGGACUCGCGGCUUAUCAGCUUGUUGGUGGGGUAGUGGCUUACCAAGGCUUUGACGGGUAGCCGGCCUGAGAGGGUGACCGGCCACAUUGGGACUGAGAGACGGCCCAGACUCCUACGGGAGGCAGCAGUGGGGAAUAUUGCACAAUGGGCGGAAGCCUGAGGCAGCAACGCCGCGUGCGGGAUGACGGCCUUCGGGUUGUAAACCGCUUUCGCCUGUGACGAAGCGUGAGUGACGGUAAUGGGUAAAGAAGCACCGGCUAACUACGUG